GACGAACGCUGGCGGCGUGCUUAACACAUGCAAGUCGAACGGAAAGGCCCUGCUUUUGUGGGGUGCUCGAGUGGCGAAAGGGUGAGUAACACGUGAGUAACCUGCCCUUGACUUUGGGAUAACUUCAGGAAACUGGGGCUAAUACUGGAUAGGAGCUCCUGCUGCAUGGUGGGGGUUGGAAAGUUUCGGCGGUUGGGGAUGGACUCGCGGCUUAUCAGCUUGUUGGUGGGGUAGUGGCUUACCAAGGCUUUGACGGGUAGCCGGCCUGAGAGGGUGACCGGCCACAUUGGGACUGAGAUACGGCCCAGACUCCUACUGGAGGCAGCAGUGGGGAAUAUUGCACAAUGGGCGGAAGCCUGAUGCAGCAACGCCGCGUGCGGGAUGACGGCCUUCGGGUUGUAAACCGCUUUCGCCUGUGACGAAGCGUGAGUGACGGUAAUGGGUAAAGAAGCACCGGCUAACUACGUG
rnacentral:rRNA from 1 species